GUGAUCGCGACCACUGGUUGCGACCUAGCCGGCCGCGCCGCCCUCUGAGCCGCCGCCGGUCUCGUCGCCGCCUCGCCGGCGCACUGUCCCCCUCCCCCCUGGCCGCCGGCGGCUGCGAUUAUGGCUUAGAUUUGCACCUCGCCGCCGCUUCCAAUAGUGACCUCAGCAAGAAGAACCGAAGAGCAGCCGCCGUGCAAGAAGACGACCUGAAGCUCCGUCUAGUCCGAGUACACGCUGGGAUGGGGCAAUGCAACCUCGUACCAUCCUUUUCAUCAUUUUUCUCACUGAACUUCUGCGUUGUGUUCUUGAUUGAAACUCAUAGGGCGAUAUUAGAAAGGUGAUUAUUAUUAUUUCUUUGAGGGGAAGAAAGGUGAUUAUUUUGUAGAGUGAACUUGGAAGAGCUCCAGAACCAGGGGCCUGUCAGAGCACUCGUUUCAGGCUUCGAUUCAGAGAGGCAUUGGCGACAUUACGUUGUCUCUGCUGACAGCUAAGAUUGCAAUGGGCAUGGCAAGUGUGAACUGCUGUUGCACUGGGAUGAUCCCAUUCAGCUAUAUACCAGCGGUUUAGCAGUAACUGCUCUAUUAUGAUAAUGCCAGCAAAAAUAUGAGCAGAACAUCAGCAUCAGACCCACCGGUGUCGUCGACGUUUAAAAGUAAUCCAGCCACAAUCUUCCUCUGUUCCCUACCUUCAAUUUCCUAGCUACUUUCUAAUGGUGACAUUGAUCUGACCAUAUCAUCACCACAUCAGGAUUAGUAUAAUCAUCUUCAGAACCGUUUCCUCUUGGCUGUAUCACCCAAUUUGGAGGACAAGUGUUAUAUUUUACUGCCUUUUUUCUGUUGCUGAGAAUAUGCAAGAUCAUCGCGUAUCUCACUACAAGAAAAGGUGAAGAGGCGAAAGAUAGAUGCCCCAAAUCCACUU
rnacentral:sRNA from 1 species